GACGAACGCUGGCGGCGUGCCUAAUACAUGCAAGUAGAACGCACAGUUUAUACCGUAGCUUGCUACACCAUAAACCGUGAGUUGCGAACGGGUGAGUAACGCGUAAGUAACCUGCCUGGUAGCGGGGGAUAACUAUUGGAAACGAUAGCUAAUACUGCAUAAUAUUGAUUAUUGCAUGAUAAUUGAUUGAAAGAUGCUAUUGCAUCACUACCAGAUGGACCUGCGUUGUAUUAGCUAGUAGGGGAGGUAACGGGGCACCUAGGCGACGAUACAUAGCCGACCUGAGAGGGGGAGCGGCCAAGCUGGGACGGGAGCACGGUCAGGACUCCUGCGAGAGGGAGAAGUAGGGGACCCUCGGCAAAGGACGAAAGUCGGAACGAGCAACGCCGCGUGAGAGAAGGAGGUUUUAGGAUCGUAAAGGUGUGGUGUAAGAGAGGAACGGGUGUGAGAGUGGCAAGUGCUCACUGUGACAGUAUCUUACCAGAAAGGUACGGCUAACUACGUG
rnacentral:rRNA from 1 species